rnacentral:sRNA from 1 species
GCUGGGCUGGGUGAUGUGCUUCUGUGGUCCCAGCUACCUGGGAGGCUGAGACAGGAGGAUCAUUUGAACUCAGGUGUUCAUGGUCCAUCUGGGCAGCAUAGCAAGAUCCUGUCUCAA